rnacentral:rRNA from 1 species
GACGAACGCUGGCGGCGUGCCUAAUACAUGCAAGUCGAACGCUUCUUUCCUCCCGAGUGCUUGCACUCAAUUGGAAAGAGGAGUGGCGGACGGGUGAGUAACACGUGGGUAACCUACCCAUCAGAGGGGGAUAACACUUGGAAACAGGUGCUAAUACCGCAUAACAGUUUAUGCCGCAUGGCAUAAGAGUGAAAGGCGCUUUCGGGUGUCGUUGAUGGAUGGACCCGCGGUGCAUUAGCUAGUUGGUGAGGGAACGGCUCACCAAGGCCACGAUGCAUAGCCGACCUGAGAGGGUGAUCGGCCACACUGGGACUGAGACACGGCCCAGACUCCUACGGGAGGCAGCAGUAGGGAAUCUUCGGCAAUGGACGAAAGUCUGACCGAGCAACGCCGCGUGAGUGAAGAAGGUGUUCGGAUCGUAAAACUCUGUUGUUAGAGAAGAACAAGGACGUUAGUAACUGAACGUCCCCUGACGGUAUCUAACCAGAAAGCCACGGCUAACUACGUG